rnacentral:rRNA from 1 species
UGCCAGCAGCCGCGGUAAUACGUAUGUCGCAAGCGUUAUCCGGAAUUAUUGGGCGUAAAGCGCGUCUAGGCGGUCUUUUAAGUCUGAUGUUAAAAUGCGGGGCUCAACUCCGUAUUGCGUUGGAAACUGGAAGACUAGAGUAUCAGAGAGGUGGGCGGAACUACAAGUGUAGAGGUGAAAUUCGUAGAUAUUUGUAGGAAUGCCGAUUGGGAAGCCAGCUCACUGGAUGAAUACUGACGCUGAAGCGCGAAAGCGUGGGGAGCAAACGGGAUUAGAUA